GACGAACGCUGGCGGCGUGCUUAACACAUGCCAGUCGAACGGAAAGGCCCUGCUUUUGUGGGGUGCUCUAGUGGCGAACGGGUGAGUAACACGUGAGUAACCUGCCCUUGACUUUGGGAUAACUUCAUGAAACUGGGUCUAAUACCGGAUAGGAUCUCCUGCUGCAUGGUGGGGGUUGGAAAGUUUCGGCGGUUGGGGAUGUACUCGCGGCUUAUCGGCUUGUUGGUGGGGUAGUGGAUUACCAAGGCUUUGACGGGUAGCCGGCCUGGGAGGGUGACCGGAUACAUUGGGACGGAGAUACGGCCCAGCCUACUACGGGAGGCAGGAGAGGGGAAUAUUGAACAAUGGGCGGAAGGCUGAUGCAGCAACGCCGCGUGGGGGAUGACGGCCUUCGGGUUGUAAACCGAUUUCGCCUGUGACGAAGCGUGAGUGACGGUAAUGGGAAAAGAAGCACCGGCUAACUACGUG
rnacentral:rRNA from 1 species